AGUCGAACGGCAGCACGGGAGCAAUCCUGGUGGCGAGUGGCGAACGGGUGAGUAAAUAUAUCGGAACGUGCCCAGUCGUGGGGGAUAACGUAGCGAAAGCUACGCUAAUACCGCAUACGAUCUACGGAUGAAAGCGGGGGAUCGCAAGACCUCGCGCGAUUGGAGCGGCCGAUAUCAGAUUAGGUAGUUGGUGGGGUAAAAGCCCACCAAGCCGACGAUCUGUAGCUGGUCUGAGAGGACGACCAGCCACACUGGGACUGAGACACGGCCCAGACUCCUACGGGAGGCAGCAGUGGGGAAUUUUGGACAAUGGGCGCAAGCCUGAUCCAGCAAUGCCGCGUGCAGGAUGAAGGCCUUCGGGUUGUAAACUGCUUUUGUACGGAACGAAACGGCGAGCUCUAAUACAGUUUGCUAAUGACGGUACCGUAAGAAUAAGCACCGGCUAACUACGUGCCAGCAGCCGCGGUAAUACGUAGGGUGCAAGCGUUAAUCGGAAUUACUGGGCGUAAAGCGUGCGCAGGCGGUUAUGUAAGACAGAUGUGAAAUCCCCGGGCUUAACCUGGGAACUGCAUUUGUGACUGCAUANCUAGAGUACGGUAGAGGGGGAUG
rnacentral:rRNA from 1 species